GCCCUUCCUCUUCGUUUGUCCCUUGUUCCUUCGCGGCUCCUCUGCGUACGCUAGCCUUACGGGAAACAAGUUCCAUUUGGAACUUUGUUUUCCUUUAUUUCUUAAGCAGAGGCCCAAUUCCCUUGGCCCAAAUUCCCAAAAAUUCGAACUCGGAGCUCAGGAAGGACGGUCCAUCAAACGGGACGUAUAAAACUACGGUUGAGGUACAAAGAAGAUCAUGGGAUGCCUUAGAGUGAGGAUGCAACCAUCAAAUUCACGAUCGAUGUUUAGUAAAGAUAACUAUGUCAUUAGUAAUAAAGGGAUGUAUUAAUUAAACUCUAAGUUUGAUUUCAUGAUUUGAGUU